CGAUUGAAAGAAAAAUGCUCGAGUCUAGACAGACAGGAGACAGUGGAGGAGGAAGAAACCGGAGUAGAGGGAGUUUGUCUGAUUCAGCUAUUGAUACUAAUUUUGAAAUACAUAAUUAUUCAAAUAAUUGAUAAAAUGGAGGAGGAUGAUAUGGAUUCGCUCUUUGAGGGGAUGGUGUUGUUUACGCCUUCCCAAUUGGUUGAUGAUCAAAAGAAGCAGCAGCAGCAAGAAAAGGAUGAUGAUCAUCAUCAUAAUAACGAUUCAGCAGAAAUCUCGCUCCCUCCUCGUGAAUCUGAAUCUCGACUUGAUGCUGCUACUGCCACCAUUAAAACUGACCCGCCAUCUCAACAUAAGGUCCAGGAGCCUCUCGACGAGAACCUAUUCUCUGACCUCACCCUCCAAACCCUAACUACAGAAUCAGAUUCCCUUCCUACUGCUGCUACUCUUCAAACAGCAACCAACUCUCGUCAGAUAUCCAGAAAGAAGAAGAAAGCUGCAAGCCUUAGAAUCGGCUAUGGUAGAGGAGGAUCCUCUAUCGAUGAUCUGCCUGCUAGUCCCUCUGAAGAUCAAAAUCUAAGUCUUAAAGAUGAUGACUCUACUGCAUCCAAUGAUAUUAUUCAUGAUGAUGAUAAAUCCGAUCUCGAUGCUUCCCAAUCCCAAUCCCCCACUUCUACGUCUUUAGUCGCAGAAUUGGAUGUCAGUGCGUGUUCGAUCCCAGAUUCACAAUCACUAUCAAAAGAUGAUGAAUAUGAGCUCAUCAAGGCCCAAAUUUCUGAGAAGCUCCACCGCUCUCGUCAGUUAGCUGCCUCUGUUUCUUCAGCUCGCAAGGAUGCCAUCAGGAGGAGAAGAGCAGCUACUGAGGAUCUCAAUUCAGCCUCUGCCAAGCACAGGGACCUCGAAUUACAGUUGGAGGCUGCCUGUGAAGCCGAAGAUUUCGAGGCCGCCGAAAGGAUUAGCGACAGGCUUGCCACCACUGACAAGGAGAGGCAAGCUCUUCUCUCUGCUCUUAGAGACGCUGAAGCCCAUUGUGAUGCCAUCGAUUCUAAGAUGCACGAUGUUCUGAACUCUCAGAUUCUUGCUGAGCAAGAAUGCGCAACUGUUCUCUCUAAUUUUGCCAAGGAUGCAGAAAAAAACGCAGAUUUAGUCUCGGAGAAAGCACAAGUACUCUCUUCAAAAGAAAUGGAUGAAUGGUUCUUGUCGAGUGAGGCCUUGGAGGCCAAGAAGAUGGAGUUGGAUGUCGAAUUACACUUCAUAAAUGAAGCACGUCUUGCUGUGAAUGAUUCCAUAGAGCAUUCAAUUGAGGACUAUAGGAAGGAGCAGGAACGUCUACAUGAGAAAAAAGAUGUUCUAACCGAUGAACUCCAGAAAUUACUCGCCUUGGUCAAAGACAAGGAAAAGGAGAUAGCAGAAAAUGAUUCUAAAAUCAAAACAAUUGAAGAAAGGAUUGCUGAUGUGGUCUCUGGUUUUCAGGACAGUCAAUCCAGCAUUGAGGCCAAAUAUGAUAACUUGCAAUUGGAACUUUCUCAGAUUCAUUUUCAUAGUGAAGCUUUAUCAAUAAAAAAGAAGGAAAUUGAUAAGUUACUUGCUGAAGGUGAAGACCUUGGAGCCAAUCUAAAGGAACUAGCCAGAGUCUCUGAAGAUGAAGCAAAGGCAUACCAGGAAGUUGUUGAGCUCAGGAAAAGGCUGAUGUUGUCCAUUUUGAAUUCCAGGGAAGACAAAGUAAGGCUUGCAAAGGCCGAAGAGAAACUUAUUGAGGAUGUCCGAAUGCUCCAACAGGAUGUUUCUUCUUUAAGAGCCUCCUUACAGGAACUGUCUUCAACAAAAUCAAACAUCCAACAAUCUAUAGCAUCCUUCAAGCAGAGGAUCUUUUUCAUUGAUAAAAGAGUCCCAGAGCUGGAAUCUGAAAAGAAAGUUGCUGCUUCAACAAGAAAUUUCAAGGAAGCUGCACGAAUAGCUGCUGAGGCAAAGUCAUUGUAUGUUGAGAAGGAUGGUGUGCAGAUUGACUUGGAAAGAACUACAGCAGAGCUGGAGAAGUUAGAGGAAGAUAUGAAAAAUACUGUUAGUAGAUUGCUGGAUACUGAACACCUGAUUUCAUCCAAGGAAAAAGAGGUUGCAAUGGCUAGAUUUCAGAGGUUACUUUUAAUUGCUGGCGCUGCUACAGCAGAAAGGGUUUCGGCUUUAGAGCUCGGUGACUCUGAAGAAGCCAACCUCCUACUUGCAGAGGCAGAAGCAGCAAAUGCUGAAGCAAAAAAACUUCAACCUAUAUAUAAUUUCAACAAGGAACAGUUCCCAAAUUUACCAAAGCAUUUCAUCUCCAUGGAACUUGUAUUUAAUCUUGGCAGGAAGCAGUUAGCAGAUUUAGCGGCAUCUGUUGGUAUUUCUGCACCUCAAUGAUUACAAACUAGAGUGGAGUGGAUUUAGAGAGGAUCAGUGAAGAGAUAUUGGAGGUGCAACAUUAUUCCUAAUUUGUAGUGAGUAUCAGAAGCUAUGAAUGAUUUUGAAAUUGCUUUUGAUGGGACAGCUAGUUACGACCAUCAUCUCCAUGGCAUUGUAUGGUUCUUCAAAGGUGCAGAUGCCUUCAAAGAUGACAUUUGAUACAUCUUACAGUUUUGCUGAUCACAGGGGGAAGUUACAUUUUCGUCUGAUAAUAAAUGAUAAUGUCAGCCUAAACACUUGUACCUGUUUCAAAGGCAUACUCUCCACAUAACCCAUUCAUCAACGUGAAAGCAACACCAGAUCAGAACCUCAUGAGGCGAAAAUGCUUCUUCAGUUUAGAGCUGGUCAUGAACAGAAUUUUUGGGUGGUUGGUUAAGGUAUUGCCAAAACCAUUAGCUAGCCAUUGUCUUCUCAUCAUAUCCGACAAGAUAACUCGAAGCGAAAGUUUACCAAAUCCUGAGCAGACAAAAAUGACAAGGAAAAAAAAAAAUUCUCGUCACCAUUUCGCUUGAAACCAUAUUUUAUUUUUUUUGAACCAAAUGGAAUCAUUGAAUUCAAAGAAUUGAAUCGAAAUUGGUGAUUCAAGAA